UAAACUAGGAUUAGAUACCCUAUUAUAAUAUAUUUAAAUUUUAACCUGGGUAGUAAUAGUUAUGUUCUUUAAACCUAAAGAAUUUGGCGGUGUUUUAUUCUAUUCAGAGGAAUUUGCCCUUUAAUCGAUAGUCCUCGUUUUAUCUUGCUUAAUAUUUGUUAUCAGUAUGUAUAUCGCCGUUAUAAGUUUAUUUUAAAAGAAUAGAAAUUUACUUUAUUCUUUUUUUGAAUUAUUUCAGGUCAAGGUGCAGCUUAUGUUUAAGUUUUGAAGGUGAAUUACAAUUUUAUUUAAAAAAACGAAUUUAUUUUUGAAAAUUUUUAAUGAAGGUGGAUUUGAUUGUAAUUUUAAUUAUAAUGUUAUUUUGAUUUUAGCUCUAAAAUAAGUACACAUCG
rnacentral:rRNA from 1 species